GACGAUGAGGGGAGAGGGGGGGGUGAGGCGGUUGUGGCGGCCUGAGGCGGCGCGGCUGAGGGGAGAGCCCGCGGGGAUGUCCGCGCUGCUCCGCUCCGCGACUUCAGCCGUCGGAGGAUCAAACGUCGAGGGAAGAGGAUGAAGUUUUGAGACGCCGUCGACCCGUGUGUUGUGGCGUUUCGCUGUGGGUGCGGUUAAGGAGAACUCGCGGCUCGCUUCUCCUGACCGCGGCUUCCCGACCCUCUGGAACGACCCGGCGCCGCGGAACUUAAAUCGUAAUAAAUAAUAACAGCAAGCGCAACCUGACGAAGUUUACGGGUUCAAAGUGUUUCUACCCCUACCAGUGAAAACAGAUGCAGGCUAUUUCUGGCAAGAUAAAAAAAAGAAUAAAGAAAACCCCACCACUGGAAAGACUGUGUUAUUUUAUAAUUCAGUUCCAACUCUGACAAAAUCUUUUGUGACUGGAACACUAACAGGAUGCAAAUGGCAGUCUUUUAGAUCAAAAAAAAAUCUGUGCAAACCCUCAGAAUGCAUUAAUACCAUUCAUAAAUGGGAAUGCAAAUGCGUUCUCCAAAUCUGUUCCACAGCACUUUACCAAAUAAAUACAGCAACAGAACCCAGUUCCAGAAUGCUUAAGUUCAAUAGAUGUGUUUGUAUAUGUUUAUACAGGAGAGAUUCCCGUGUUAUGUAUUUAAUCUUAUGUGAAGACCAGGCCUGCUUCCUACAAAGGAGUGUAUUCCUACAAAUAAAUAUAUGUGAGUUUAGGAAUUGAAGUCACAGCAAAACUACAGCUCGGACCACUGUACAAAAGAAGGUAGUAAAAGCUUCAUUACUAGUACUAUUAUGCUGUCUAUAUUGUUAAAUGUGAACUCUGUAAUUAAGAUGUAAAUUCACUUGUAAGCAGUGAUUUUAAAAGCUCCGAAAUGUAGAGUAAAAUCCAAGUACUCUGUAGAAACAUCAGAGACAAAAAAAAGAACCAGCUUUUAUCAAAUUUUAAAAUGAGCGGCAUUUAAUCGUGUUACUGUUUUAUAAUGUCCCCUUUAAGUAACAGUUUGAUAAAUAUGGAUUUGGAAAUCAAAUCAAAACUUGGGUAUGAUGUCUUUAUGUAAAGGUAUCUGUAUUACUAUAUAAACCCAAAAUAACAGUUCCUACAAACUGAUUUACAUGUGCACGUUGGCAAAACAUGAAAAUACAAAUACAUUGUUUGUA